UGGGGAAUAUUGGACAAUGGGCGAAAGCCUGAUCCAGCAAUGCCGCGUGAGUGAUGAAGGCCUUAGGGUUGUAAAGCUCUUUUACCCGGGAUGAUAAUGACAGUACCGGGAGAAUAAGCUCCGGCUAACUCCGUGCCAGCAGCCGCGGUAAUACGGAGGGAGCUAGCGUUGUUCGGAAUUACUGGGCGUAAAGCGCGCGUAGGCGGUUUUUUAAGUCAGAGGUGAAAGCCCGGGGCUCAACCCCGGAAUUGCCUUUGAAACUGGAAAACUUGAAUCUUGGAGAGGUCAGUGGAAUUCCGAGUGUAGAGGUGAAAUUCGUAGAUAUUCGGAAGAACACCAGUGGCGAAGGCGACUGACUGGACAAGUAUUGACGCUGAGGUGCGAAAGCGUGGGGAGCAAACAGG
rnacentral:rRNA from 1 species